rnacentral:rRNA from 1 species
UACGUAGGCAGCAAGCGUUGUUCGGAGUUACUGGGCGUAAAGGGUGUGUAGGCGGUUCUUUAAGUUUGGUGUGAAAUCUCCCGGCUCAACUGGGAGGGUGCGCCGAAUACUGAGGGACUAGAGUACGGGAGAGGAAAGUGGAAUUCCUGGUGUAGCGGUGAAAUGCGUAGAUAUCAGGAGGGACACCGGUGGUGUAGACGGCUUUCUGGACCGACACUGACGCUGAAACACGAAAGCGUGGGUAGCAAACAGG